rnacentral:rRNA from 1 species
GGGUGUGACUGCGUACCUUUUGUAUAAUGGGUCAGCGACUUAUAUUCUGUAGCAAGGUUAACCGAAUAGGGGAGCCGGAGGGAAACCGAGUCUUAAUUGGGCGUUAAGUUGCAGGGUAUAGACCCGAAACCCGGUGAUCUAGCCAUGGGCAGGUUGAAGGUUGGGUAACACUAACUGGAGGACCGAACCGACUAAUGUUGAAAAAUUAGCGGAUGACCUGUGGCUGGGGGUGAAAGGCCAAUCAAACCGGGAGAUAGCUGGUUCUCCCCGAAAGCUAUUUAGGUAGCGCCUCGUGAAUUCAUCUCCGGGGGUAGAGCACUGUUUCGGCUAGGGGGCCAUCCCGGCUUACCAACCCGAUGCAAACUGCGAAUACCGGAGAAUGUUAUCACGGGAGACACACGGCGGGUGCUAACGUCCGUCGUGAAGAGGGAAACAACCCAGACCGCCAGCUAAGGUCCCAAAGUCAUGGUUAAGUGGGAAACGAUGUGGGAAGGCCCAGACAGCCAGGAUGUUGGCUUAGAAGCAGCCAUCAUUUAAAGAAAGCGUAAUAGCUCACUGGUCGAGUCGGCCUGCGCGGAAGAUGUAACGGGGCUAAACCAUGCACCGAAGCUGCGGCAGCGA